rnacentral:antisense_RNA from 1 species
CUUGAGCGAGCCGAGCCAGAGCGGUUCACCGGCCGGACGGCUCUGACCGUAGGUGGCGAGCAGCGCCUGCGCCUC